GACUUACUGAUGUACUCCCCCGCAGCCAAACUCCACCCAGGUAUGCCAGAAGUCUCUACAGUUUCUAGAGAAGAGAACCUAACAGCUCCAGGGACAAAAUCCAGGGGUUUAUGUGCUUAAGGAGACUGAAUAAAUAUUAAGACCAAUGUGGCCUCUCUCCGUAAAUUCAAGGCUAACUGGUCCAAGACUGACUCUCAGAACAGAUUCGAUGCAAGUGGACAAAGCCCGGUUUGGCCAGAAUCGUCCAGCCACUCUGGCAUAGGGACAUCUAGAUCUCUGGACCACAAGCUCCAAGAACAGAGGCUCCAAGUCUGUUGUUAACCUUUAUCUCUCGGGCACCAGCACAGCAGAAAGCACCCACUACGUAAGCAGUUAAGGAAUGAAAGAGUGAAUGUUUAAGAUUCCGUUUAUUUUAAUGUAAAAUGUUCAAGGGACAUUGAA